rnacentral:misc_RNA from 1 species
UCAAACUUGGUCAUUUAGAGGAAGUAAAAGUCGUAACAAGGUUUCCGUAGGUGAACCUGCGGAAGGAUCAUUAAUGAAAUCAAAGGUCCAGGUUGUAGCUGGCUUUCUCUGGAAGCAUGUGCACGCCUGUGACCAUUAUCCAUCUCAUCCCUGUGCACCUUUGCGUGGGUCAAGAGGAGCUUUGCGGCUCCUCAAGGCUUGCGUUUUAUUAUAUACCCAUCGUAUGUUUAAGAAUGUCUACUUGCGUUAAUCGCAUCUAAUACAACUUUCAACAACGGAUCUCUUGGCUCUCGCAUCGAUGAAGAACGCAGC